CCUACGGGUGGCAGCAGUGAGGAAUAUUGGUCAAUGGACGAGAGUCUGAACCAGCCAAGUAGCGUGAAGGAUGACUGCCCUAUGGGUUGUAACCUUCUUUUAUAUCGGAAUAAAAUGUUCCACGUGUGGGAUUUUGUAUGUACCAUAUGAAUAAGGAUCGGCUAACUCCGUGCCAGCAGCCGCGGUAAUACGGAGGAUCCGAGCGUUAUCCGGAUUUAUUGGGUUUAAAGGGAGCGUAGGUGGAUUGUUAAGUCAGUUGUGAAAGUUUGCGGCUCAACCGUAAAAUUGCAGUUGAAACUGGUAGUCUUGAGUACAGUAGAGGUAGGCGGAAUUCGUGGUGUAGCAGUGAAAUGCUUAGAUAUCACGAAGAACUCCGAUUGCGAAGGCAGCUCACUGGACUGCAACUGACACUGAGGCUCGAAAGUGUGGGUAUCAAACAGGAUUAGAUACCCGAGUAGUC
rnacentral:rRNA from 1 species